rnacentral:rRNA from 1 species
AACCCGGUGAUCUAUCCAUGGGCAGGUUGAAGGUUGGGUAACACUAACUGGAGGACCGAACCGACUAAUGUUGAAAAAUUAGCGGAUGACUUGUGGAUGGGGGUGAAAGGCCAAUCAAACCGGGAGAUAGCUGGUUCUCCCCGAAAGCUAUUUAGGUAGCGCCUCGUGAACUCAUCUUCGGGGGUAGAGCACUGUUUCGACUAGGGGGUCAUCCCGACUUACCAACUCGAUGCAAACUGCGAAUACCGAAGAAUGUUAUCACGGGAGACACACGGCGGGUGCUAACGUCCGUCGUGAAGAGGGAAACAACCCAGACCGCCAGCUAAGGUCCCAAAGUCAUGGUUAAGUGGGAAACGAAGUGGGAAGGCUCAGACAGCCAGGAUGUUGGCUUAGAAGCAGCCAUCAUUUAAAGAAAGCGUAAUAGCUCACUGGUCGAGUCGGCCCGCGCGGAAGAUGUAACGGGGCUAAACCAU